AUACUUACAUGCACACAGCACAAACUGUGUAGUAUCUGUUCUUAUCAGCUUAAUAUCUGAUACAUCCUUGACGAGAGGACUUCAUAUUAAAUGGAUUUUUGCUUGGUUGGUUUUUUU
rnacentral:snRNA from 1 species